GAAUGAAUACUCUUGAAGCUUCAUGGUUAUUAUGGAUGCCUGCAUGAAGCAUGGACCUGGUAUAUCCCGAAACCGAAUUAGUUUGCAUCCAACGGAGCAUUCACGGUGUCGGACGUAGCUCAUUACGACGCAGAGAUACAUCAUCAGGAGACGAUGUGGAUACAGGAAGCGAGGAGAAGAAGAGGACUGUAAGGAGGAGUGAUUCAACAUGGGGCAAGGUGACAUCUGUUGUCAAAGCAACCCAUUUUGUUGUGAAUAUGGCGGAACCAAGGCGUCCCCAGUCUUCUUGGAUAAGAGAAAACUUUAAAAAGAAAGAGUGCAUCAGAUACGUAAUAGACCCAAAGAAGCCAAAUGUCUGUUGUUGUGGUCGUCUGCCAAGACAGCACUGCAAUGAUGCCAACUUAGACCGUACCAGCCAGGGCUCGUCAACAUGGGAUAAAGACCUGGAUGUGAGAGAGUACCCUACAGAUGCCAAUGGUCUCAUAUACUUCAAAGAAAGAUUUUCUACCCCAAAGCCAGUCAAGUAUGUGAGGAUCUCCAAUAACACAGACCCAAAGCUAGCUUUGAAGAUUUUGACAGAGUAUUGGAAACUCAACAUCCCUCAACUAGUCAUCUCCGUCAGUGGAGGAGCCAAGAAUUUCAAGCUGAACGCCCAAGACCAGGCUACAUUCAACAGAGGUUUAAUCAAGGUAAAUUGUCUUCUUAUUCUUGUUCUCCUUUUUUUUUUUUUCUUCUUCUUACUCUUCUUCACUCAUUUUCUUUGUCUUCCAUAUUCUUAUUUCCUUUUUACUUUGAUUCUCUUUUGUCUUCUCUCUAUUUUCUAUUCUUUUCAAUCUACUAUUUAUUUUUGUUUUGUUUUAUAUCUUUCCAUUUUUUUGCUCCUUUUUCUUUUGUCUGUUUUUGUCUCGCCUGCAUAACAGAGCGAGACUAUAUUGGUGCUGCUUUUCCGACGGCGGCGGCAACAUCAAAUCUUAACCGAAGGUUAAGUUUUUGAAAUGAAAGCAUAACUUAAAAAGUUAAUGGAUCUAGUUCAUAAAACUUGGACAUAAGAGUAAUCAGGUAUCACUGAACAUCCUGUGCGAGUUUCAGGUCACAUGACCAAGGUCAAAGGCCAUGUAAGGUCAGUGAGCUUUAGCCAUGUUGGGAGUAUUUUUUCAAUUACCAUCAUAACUCUCAAUGUGUAUGGAUCUAGUUCAUAAAUCUUGGACAUAAGAGUAAUCAAAUAUCACUGAACAUCCCGUGCGAGUUUCAGGUCACAUGACGAAGGUCAAAGGUCAUUUAAAGUCAAUGAACUUUGGCCAUCCUUUAUAAAAAAGUACCAUGGUAGUACCAUAGUACUUUUACGUUGGUAAUACCAUAGUAUUACCUUAGUACCAAUAGUACGGUAAAUUGACAGAUGAAGGCAGUAAAUUUACCAUGGAUUUACCAUAGUAAAAGUACCAUGGUAUUACCAUGGUUGUACGAUUUUUCUUUUUUAUGGAUAAUAAUAAGCCAUUUGAGAUCCAUGGUUUUCUUAUUUCUCUUAAGAACAGUUUGAGUUAUUAAUGGGAAACAAUCGUCAUAAAGUGUGGUAAGUUUAUUUUAAAAAUAGUCAUAACUAGCAUUUGUGUCAUUACUCAUGUAAAUGGGGACCAAUCAAUUUGCAACAACUUCUUUUUGAAUUCUUGUAUACCCUUAUGAGUAAUUGACCUCUUAUUGGGAUUUUGGUUAUUAGAUAUAUGUACAUGUUUUCCAACUUUAUUUUUUACAUUAAUUAGACAAUAUAUAGGAAAAUGAUCAGAAAUAUCUGUGUAUAGCAAACCAGUUUCAACAUUUUCAUGAAAAGUAUUAAUAAAAAUAUUAUCAAUAAGUGUACACGAUCUUGAUGUAACUCGUGUAGGUUUACUUAUGACAGGAAACAAGUUAUGAGAGAACAUUGUUUAGAACUAAAAAAUCAUUCGUUUUGGAGUGUUUAUGGUAAUUGAGUAAGUCAACAUUAUAAUCACCCAUCAUAUAAAUAUUUUUCUUUUCCUUGCCCAAUGCUUCUAAACAUAAAAUAAGUUUGUCAUUAAAGGAUGAUAAAUUGGUAUUAGGGGGUCUAUACACACAACCUAUUACAGAGUUUGUAAGGGAUCCUUUGAGUUCUAUAAAACGUACUUCAAUAUCAGGUAAGCAUAAAGAUAAGUCAUUUCGAAUCACAUAAUCAAUACAAUUAUUUAUAUAAAUAGCAACACCUCCACCAUUUCGUUCCUGUCUUGAAAUUUGAGCUAAAGAAUAAUUGUUUACAUUAUACAUACUGUGGUGAGUUUUAGGAGUAAACCAUGUUUCCGUCACACCGAUGAUAUCAAAAUUUACCUUAAAGAUGACAAAAAGAUCUGAAAGUUAUCACAAUUUCGACAUAAACUUCUCAUAUUUAAAUGAAUUAUUGAAAAAUAAUCCUUGUAAUUAGUAAAUCUUUCAUGAAAUUCUUCUGGAAAUCUAUAAUUACUUUCACCUUGAGAUAUGCACUGAAAGUCAUCAACAACAAUGUCAUUGAGAAAAUUAUUUUGCUGAGUAUUGUUCAUAUUAAAUGGAUUUAUUUUCAUAUUUUGAAUUCUCUUGGUGUCAAUGCUAUGAUUAAGGCAAAAGAAAUUAUAUAAUGACCAAUAGUAUUCAUAAUCGUCAAUAAAAUGAUUGAAAGGGAAUAUAUCUGAUAUACGUUGUGUACAUAGAAAUUGAGUAGGAGUAGAUCUAUGAGAAUUGCAGUGCUUACAAUAAUCAUCCAUCAGUACAAACAAAUACACUCUCACACAUCCAAACAACAUACGACCAGCCCAAUUAAGUAUCACAUAUACAAUU